GACGAACCGUGCGAACGUUGUUCGGAUUCACUGGGCUUAAAGGGCGCGUAGGCGGCCGCUCAAGUCGGGGGUGAAAUCUUUCAGCUUAACUGGAAAAUAGCCUCCGAUACUGGGCGGCUCGAGGGAGAUAGGGGUGCGCGGAACUUCCGGUGGAGCGGUGAAAUGCGUAGAUAUCGGAAGGAACGCCGGUGGCGAAAGCGGCGCACUGGAUCUCCGACUGACGCUGAGGCGACGGAAA
rnacentral:rRNA from 1 species